rnacentral:rRNA from 1 species
GAUAAGACAUGCAAGUCGAACGGAGUGGUAGCAAUACCGCUUAGUGGCGCACGGGUGCGUAACACGUGGGAAUCUACCCAAAAGUGGGGGAUAGCUCCCCGAAAGGGGAAUUAAUACCGCAUGUGAUCGGAAGAUCAAAGCCGGGGAUCGCAAGACCUGGCGCUUUUGGAUGAGCCCGCGACCUAUCAGCUAGUUGGCGGGGUAAAAGCCCACCAAGGCUCUGACGGGUAGCUGGUCUGAGAGGACGACCAGCCACACUGGGACUGAGACACGGCCCAGACACCUACGGGUGGCAGCAGUCGAGAAUCUUUCACAAUAGGGGAAACCCUGAUGAAGCGACGCCGCGUGGAGGAUGACGGCCUUCGGGUUGUAAACUCCUGUCAUCACAGAAAAAGGUCCAGUGGUUAAUACCUGGCUGGACUUGAUUGUAUGUGGAGAGGAAGGGGCGGCUAACUCUGUGCCAGCAGCCGCGGUAAUACAGAGGUCCCAAGCGUUGUUCGGAUUUACUGGGCGUAAAGGGUGCGUAGGCGGCCAAGCAAGUCGGGUGUGAAAUCCCUCCGCUUAACGGUGGAACUGCGCCCGAAACUGCUUGGCUUGAGGACCGGAGAGGCAAGCGGAAUUCCUGGUGUAGCAGUGAAAUGCGUAGAUAUCAGGAGGAGCGCCAACGGCGAAAGCAGCUUGCUGGAAGGAUCCUGACGCUGAUGCACGAAGGCCAGGGUAGCGAACGGGAUUAGAUACCCCGGUAGUCCUGGCAGUAAACGUUGUGCAUUAGGUGUUGGUGGAUUCGACCCCAUCAGUGCCGACGCUAACGCAUUAAAUGCACCGCCUGGGGAGUACGGUCGCAAGAUUAAAACUCAAAGAAAUUGACGGGGGCCCGCACAAGCGGUGGAGUAUGUGGCUUAAUUCGAUGCAACGCGAAGAACCUUACCUGGGCUUGACAUGCUUGGUUCAAUCGUGGAAACACGAUGGCCCGCAAGGGCGACUUGCACAGGUGCUGCAUGGCUGUCGUCAGCUCGUGUCGUGAGAUGUUGGGUUAAGUCCCGCAACGAGCGCAACCCUCGCGGCUAGUUAUACGCUUCGGCUCACUAGCAGGACUGCCCUGUUCAACGGGGAGGAAGGUGGGGAUGACGUCAAGUCAGUAUGGCCCUUAUGUCCAGGGCUGCACACGUACUACAAUGCCCACUACAAAGGGACGCAAGACCGCGAGGUGGAGCAAAUCUCAGAAAAGUGGGCUCAGUUCGGAUUGGAGGCUGCAACUCGCCUCCAUGAAGGUGGAAUCGCUAGUAACGGCGUAUCAGCUACGACGCCGUGAAUACGUUCCCGGGCCUUGUACACACUGCCCGUCACAUCAUGAAAGCCGGUUGUACCCGAAGUCGCUGAGCUAACCCUCGGGAGGCAGGCGCCUAAGGUACGUCUGGUGAUUGGGAUGAAGUCGAAACAAGGUA